CCACCCUGCCACAGCUUCGGGACGACUGGAUCGCCGCGCCUGGGCCGGAGCGAGCCAUCUGCGGGCACUAUGCAAAGCGGGAGACGGCGCGAGCGGCGCCCGGCUCACACUAGCUCUUCCAGGACGCAGGUCUUUUUUUUUUUUUUUCUUUUUCUUUUUUCAUUUCCCAGAUACAGCUGAUCGAGUUCGCCGAGUGGCCGAGCGAGUGAGCGCUCCUCCGACUUGGGUGGAGGAAGGCACGGAAAAGUAUACGGGAGAAAAAGUGGGGGUUUUAGGGGUGGGGGUGGCAUAGGAGGAGGGAGGGGGGGAUCUGCAAAUCAUUCCACUUUUUAAACGAUCAUAGGUAGUGUCAAGGAUACGUGUCACCCUUGGUUCCUUUUAAAGGGGAGGUGGACAAUAAAAUACAGGUAGGUUUGGUAUUAAAAUAAUAGGUGCCAGAGGUUUCACAUCGGGUCCGCUGCAUCUGUUAUUAGACGAAGAUCAACAUUGGCUGAGUCCCAGUUUAUCUCCAGUCCAAAUUAUCAGGAAGAGGAAUAUUUACCCUUGGUUACCUCUGACAUUAGUUGGAUUGUAGGUAAAGCAGCCUUUAAAAAUAUAUAUGUUGCAAACAUCUGGCGAUUACCCUUCACUAAUUCACUCGCCCCAGAAAGACCAAAGAUAGCUGUUCAAUACAGGAUUUACACAGUUUUGACGCCUGGGCAACAAACUUUAAAGUUUAUUAGGCAAGAAAUUUCAAACGCAUAAAUCGCAGGCUCUAAAAUAAAGCCCUAGAAAAUUUACUUUGGUUUGACAUUUCUUGCUUGAAAAAUAACCAGCAAAAUUUCUUUAGAUAAUGUGGCUCUUAAAGAUCUCCUUGGGCUUUGCAAGUUACAAAUGCAAGCGAGCCUCAGCCGCAGCUAGAACGUCCCUUUCACCGGGCACAGUAAACGGCUUUUAAUAAAGCAGCCGCGUUUAUGACCUAAAGAUCCUAUAAAAGCUGGGACUUGCAAGAGCUGCGAAGCAGAAACAUUCAUACAUAGUCUAUUAGACACUCAUUUUUGUAAGUAGGAGGAGGACAAGUAGUCUUCGUGUGUCCCUCAAAUUUAAUCAGAUCAAAGGUUGAAUCAUGCUGUGUCGUGACAACAGGGUAUUUAUGAGGUGUGUUACAAGUACACUGGCCAAACACUACCAAUGUCUUCUGCGACACACACACACACACACUCCUUCCUAGGGAAUUUACAAUUUCAGCCUCAAAUUCACCAAACCGUAAAGAGGAUAUUAAGCCCUCCCUUUGAAUAAGAAUAGCGAUGUUAGUAUGUCCGAGUCUAUCCCGGCAGGAAACUUUUGGCACGAAUUUCAAACAGUGAAAAGGAGAAAAAAAAUUAGGUCGGUCAGGUUAGGUGUCGGCGAUAAGAAAAGAGAUUGCGGGAGCAUCCCCAGCCUUCUUCUUUCCCCUUUUGCCGCCCCCACACACUCCCCCCACGCGUCUAUCACGGAAGCAACACAGAGGAGCGCACACGCACCACUCACACCUCCAACUAUUGACUGUUGUAUCAGGUGUUCUAACCGGGAUGUGACAGUUGAGGCUGGGAGCAGAAAUAAUCAACAUGCCCAUUAGAUACAGGACGGAAUAAUGCUUCUAUUGGUUGGGUCCCUUCGAGAGAGAACCAUUCUCUGCUUUCAAUAGGACAGAAGAGCUCCUUGGCACUGGAUGCCUCCGGGUCUGGUUGAGAGAGGAAUGGUUAGGAGACUGUUCUGAGGAUACGCAGACAUCAUCCAAAGCUUCCUACAUUCAGAUGAGGACAGAGGUUGGGCCAGAGCUUUGUAAGCUUGUUACCUAAGGAUGGUUCUGACCAUGUAAGCAGAUCACAGAAGCUGGAGGCAAAGGAUGCCAAGAUGGGAAAGCCACAUAAUGGAAGGAUCCUGGAUUUCAGAGCUGUCACUUGGAGGAGGGGCACCCAGUGAAGGUGUCUUAUCUAACCCACACCAUAUCUUCAUGAAGUGGCCAUAUGGAUUUGAUCCCUAUCCUUCAGAGGUGCUCAGCCUAAGGGAACACGGAUAGUAGAUUAAGCACUGACCAGGUGAAAAAGAUUGAUCAUCAGAUGUUUCUUAUGUAUCAACCUGAUAUUUAAAUCCAUGAAGGACAGAGACGACAAAGGCAGGUGGAAUAGAUAGAGAAGAGAUUCAAGGUCUGAGCUCUACAUUACUCAAACUGUUAGAGAUUAGGAAGAAGAGGAAGACCUGGCAAAAGAAUGUCCUGGGAUGUAGAAAGAAAACCAGAAGCUUGUGUUCUCUGGAAACCAAAUGAAGAAAGGGCUUCCAGAAGGACAGACAAAGUGUAGUGUGUCAAAGGCUCCUGAGCAAUCAGAGGAGAGCACAAAGGGGCUCACAGGACUUUGGUAUCUGGAUCACCCAGUGACACUUCCUGAUCACGAGAAACUGUCAGACCAACAGGGGCACUUUCUGAAACCAGCAGUUCUUCAGUGCCCAAAUGCAACCUUGAUGGUUUGAUUUUGGAGGAUGGCAAUUCAUUAACAGCACUCCCCAGUGAUAAAUAUGAAAACCAAUAAAACCCCCCACCCAAGGCAAUCUCUCCCAGCUCCUCGCUUUGAGUAAAGUGAGUAACCUCCAUUUCUGCCAACUCCUGUCUUGUCUGAAGCCACAUUUCCCCAGCAAUGUCACAUAUGCAUUUCUUGAUCCUGGUCAUUUCUCCUCUUGGGAGAUGAAUCAUAAAGAAAAUGAGAUCUGUGUGCCCUGGUGACUAUGGAUGCAAGAGUCUGCUGCCCUGGAGGGAACAGCUGGAAAAGUAGAUGGUGAAGACGUGUGGGGGGGAAACAGUGGAGAAGGCAUCUUUGCAGGGGAUCAAGGUGACAGAGUGAUUAGUUACACUGUUUUGACAUGUGAGAACAGGGGGUUAUAAAAAUGGAUACAGGAAGAGGGAGAGAAAGUAAGGACCAAAACAUGAAGCCAGUCAUGAAUGUUUUUACAUAAAAAGCAGCAGAUUUACGGCAAAUAUGUGAUGUUUCCACAUUUUCUGCCUCUAGUUAGCAGGGGCAGCACAAAGAGCAUUACUGUGGAGCUGAACUUUGGGUAAAAGAUUAACAGCCAGUCCUUUCUCUCCAGUGUCUGCUUCCUUCUGGGCUUGCCCUGGGGGAAAAGGAGGGCUGGCAUGGAUAUGCCUGCAGCCCUCACCCUAGAUGUUCUUCCACGCCUCUCUGUUCAUUCAUUGCUUAGUCAUUCCUCAGGCAUGGAUUGAGACCACUGUGUGCCCAGGACCGACCUGGCCUAGGAUGGACAUAGAGAUGGAAAAGGCACAGGGAGCAGGUGACAGAGACAAAUCAAGGUCAUGGAGAAUAGCAGAGUAAGAUAGAAGAUGAAGGCAGGAGAUGGGGUUCUUGAGAAAGCGAGAGCAGGACUGACCCGUGUCUGCCUCACCUGUUAUUGCUGUAGCCUCUUCUCCUUGGAGUAUCCCUCCUGCUCUUGCAUCACCUUAGGAACUUGGAUCAGAGAGGAAAGUUACGGCCUGGAUAUGUUGUAGUAGGAGGGGACAAACAUGUUUGGAGACAGAAAUGCUUGGGGAGCGGGUGUUUUUGGGGGAUGAGACUUUCCAGGUCUCUCAAUUCACACUAUGUAGGUAGUUCACUGCACAGCUUAAAUAAGAGACAACUCUCCGGAGUGGUUGGCUCUCAUCCAAAAAAUGUGUUUUGGGCCUCAGAUUUCCAACGGAAGGGCUGAAGCGUGACUGGCCUGAUGUCAACUACUGAAGUCCACCUGCCCCUGCCCUAUCAGGUGUGGAAAUGCUGGGGUUCCUCUCUCAGAACCUACUUCCUGAGAUGUCGAAAUAUACCCAAGAGUAUUUCUGGGCCUUCUCCAAUCCGAAACUGUUUAGUUUUUGUGUGUGUGUGCCUACUUGGCCACACUAGAAGACAGAGGUGGCCUGGGUGAAAUGCAGGUUUCUAGAGGCUCUCUGACAAAGCUCAGGCCACCAGCCCCAGGCCAGCCUGUGGGUAGUCCUGGCUGACAGUCACUUCAUACCUCACCUGGGCUUUUUGCCAAAUUCAAAGUGUGUGUAUAUGUGGAGUGCUGGGUUCCCACCACUGACAGUCUGUAAGUCAUUCACUUAGCUCAAUUUGUCUUACUUUCUUCUGAAAUUUCUUCCUUCUUGUUCUUUUUCCCAGGAGAAACCAGGAGAAGGCAGUCCUAGGGCAGUCUCCGGGCCAGCUUUCCCUAAUAAGAAGGCAGAGCUCCUCUUCACCCAGACUUCAGACCUAUAGAGGCAGCCUGGGGUCCCGGGAUGCCCUUGCACUCAGAGAUGUCCCCAGAGUCCUAGGGAAAUGGAGGAUAACUAGGAGGAAGCUGUUCAUGGCUGGCGAUGAGGUCUAUACCUUCUUGUCCGUCUCAGUGCUGUCUGCUAUUGAAUUUUUGUGCAGAUCACAUUAACUUAAAGCCAGUUCUCAAGAAGCUCCCCCUGCCGCCGGCAUAUCCACCAGUUGCUCCCCUUUCCUGCCAUUAAUCAGGGUCUGCUAGUUAGAGAACAAAUUCCUAUUUGUCCAAACAGUUGCCAACACCCCCACCCCAAGGUAGUUAAAUGAGGAUGAAUGGGUCAUUCUUAUUAAAAAAUGACUUAAAUUUCUCAAAUUCUAUUUAUGUUUCUUUUACAUCCCAAUUUUCUAUAGAUUUAGUGACUCCAAAUGAUAAGGUCUCAAGCUCAUAAUAAUUUAUCCCUUGGGUAACACACAAGGCUUGGUGGUAUUUCAGUAAUAUUCAUGACAACAGCAGCUGUCGUGCUAAUAAGGACUGAUGUCACCAGAGCACUUUCUAUGUGCCAAGCAUGGUGCACAACACUUUACAUACAUUAUGUCAUUUAAUUUUCACAAAACCUCACAGAGGUAAAUAUUAUUAUCUUCCUCUGCAUAUAAGGAAAUGAAUGUUCGGAAAGAUUAAGUCAACUCACUGAGGUCCCAUCAGUGCUCUUUCAUAUGCCUCUGUUGCAGUCUCAUUGAACUGCUGAAAUCAGAAAAACCUGGAGACCUUGUUAACCUUCAGAUUCCUGGGCCCCAUCUUAGAUGCAGGGAGUCAGACUUCCUGGGAGUGUGGCCCUGGAAUUUUCAUUUGUAAACACAUUCCCCAAGAGACCUGUAUGCACACUAAAGUGGGAGAAUUCACGAUCUCUGGCUUUUGUGAUGUUUUAAACGCACUAUAUAAUUUCAGUAGCAAAAGAAUUGGGCUUUGGGAAGGGAGUGUGUGGUGAACCCUGAAAGCUGAAUGGACUUCCUUCCUGUGGAGGAGCAGUGGGAGAAACUGGAGGCAGAGAGCUGUGUUUCAUUCCUUGAUUGAGCCUUUGUGAGUUAUUUAAUCUCUUUCAGUCUCUAUUUUUUUCAUUUGUAAACCAGGAAGGAUACUUGUAUUUUCCAGGUGGUUGUGAGGUGUGAAAGAGAUGAGAGUAGAACAAAAUUUUAAAAGUUGAAAGCACUCAACAAAUGUAUUUGGUAUUAAUCAUGGGUUUCCCUGGGGCCGAGGAAGCCACCAGCCACCGCAGGCCUGUACACAAUGCCAGCCACCAUGUAUGGAUACGGAGGAGGCAAAAGGACUAGCGAACACUCCCAGGGACUGGAUGUCUUGAAUAUCUGUCCAACUUUCUUGGGAGGGGCCAUUUCUUCUGUAACUCAAAGGAAUUUAUUAUUUUUCAGCCAGGGAGGCAUGCUUUCUAUCUACUGCUAGUACUCCCAGACCAAGCUGUUUCAGUGGGACUGAGGUGUGACUUCUGCCUCGGUUUCAUCCAUCUGUGCAGGGAAGAGAAAAAUGCCUGCACCUCCACGGUCACACCCUCUGUUGGAACCACCUCCUUAAGCCAGAAUUAUUGAAUGUUCUCUAUGUGCCAGAAUUAUUAUUAUCUCAUUUGAUUCUCACAACAAUGCCAUGAAGUCUAUACAGACAUACCUUGGAAAUACAGCGGGUUUGGUUCCAGACCACCGCAAUAAAGCUAAUACCGCAAUAAAAUGGGUCACACGAAUUUUUUGGAUUAGGCUUCGGCUUAAGGGAAUGUUGUGGCUGGUUUGAUGUUUUAUCCAGACCGCUAACACUUUCUCCCUAUCAGCAAUGAGGCUGUUUUGCUUUCUUAUCAUUCCUGUGUUCACUGGAGUAGCACUUUUAAUUUCCUUCAAGAACUUUUCCUUUGCAUUCAUAACUUGGCUAACUGUUUGGCACAAGAGGCCUGCCUAGCUUUUGGCCUAUCUAAGCUUUUGACUUGCCUUCCUCACUGAGCUUAAUCAUCUCUAGCCUUGGAUUUAACGUGGAAAAUGUGUGACCCUUCCUUUCACUUGAACACUUGGAAGCUAUUGUAGGGUUAUUAACUGGCCUAAUUCAAUAUUAUUGUGUCUCAGGGAACAGGGAGGCCCAGAGAGAGAGAGACGGGAAAACAGAAAGUCAGUGGGGCAGGCAGAACACACACGUUUAUUUAUUAAGUUUGCUGUCAUAUGUUGGUGCAGUUCAUGCUGCCCCAAAACAAUUACAAUAACAAGAUCAAAGAUUCCUGGUCAUAGAUUGCCAUAACAGAUACAGUAAUCACGAAAAAGUUUGAGAUAUUGUGAGAAUUACGCAGAUAUUGUGAGAAAUAUGACCCAGAGACAAGAAGCGAGCACAUGCCGUUAGAAAAAUGGCACCAACAGACUUGCUUGCUGCAGGGUUACACAUACCUUCAAUUUGUAAAAAAAAAAAACUGUAAUAUCUGCAAAACGCAAUAAAGAAAAGUGUAAUAAAAUGCAGUCUGCCUGAACUUCAAUUAUUCCCAUUUUAUAGAAGAGGAAAUAGAUGCAGGGAGUUUGAUCUGCCUGAACUAGUAAAUGGUAGAACUCUGGGACUAACAUUCCUAUCCUCUAUGCUACAUUCCUAGGAAAGAACGCUCAGACAGGGUUGGACUGAGAGUGUGUUAAGCUUUGCACUGUUUUGAGCCCUCUGAAGGAGUGUCCGUAUUUGAAAGCUGGCCUCCUUCCUUUCACUGGCCCUCCACAGUGUGGCCUAAGUUAUUCAAUUAGGAAGGGAAAUAAUUGGCAGUGGAGAAUGCCUCUAGCAGUGGUAAUUACCUCCAGUGCCUUGUAGGAAUAGUCAAGCUACAUUUCAGUUUAUGCUGUAAAACCUUAAUUAUAAUAUAAACAGCUGCCCUUCAGCCCAGUGGGGCAGCCUUCCCCCGCCUUCCUUCUCUGGCCUCUGAAUGGCCCUGCCUCCUGAAUGGUCAGGGAGGUCCAGGGACGGAAGGAGACCUGGGAGGAGGGGAGCCGAUGACUAUGCGUGCGUUGGGGUUUGGAAGACUAAGCUGGAGGGAGCCACUGCCAGGGUCCCAUCUUCAAGUGAUGAAGCCAAAGGCAGCAUCCCCAUUCUUGGUACCACUCACACUGAGUCUCUUGGGGGAGCAGCCUCCAGCCAUUAGCAGUCAGCCCAGUGCCAUUAGGCUAGGAUAGGGUUUAGCAGGCUAUGGUAUCAUUUCAGGGUAACAUCUCUUUCUAUUUACUCCCCUAUAAGGGAGAACAGAGUCUUCCCUUCUAGAUCCAGACUUCCUGGCCAUGUAGGAGCCCUGUUGAGUGCCUGGUGCACUCUAGGUAGUAUGCGAGGCAUGGUUGCAAGGGUUCCCCAUUUCAACUUCACAGCACUUGGAUACACAGAAAAUUAACAUCCUCAUUUGACUAUUGAGGAAAAUGAGACUUUGAAAGUUUAAACGGAGAUAAGGCUUGGGAGGCAGACAGCCCUGUAAGUGACUUAAGUUCAGGAAGGAGAAGGACACUCAAUAUUUUUGUUCAGAGCACUGGGAAGGAGAGAGAGGGAUCAGUCACCAUCGGGCAUUUGAGAAGGUCCAGGAACAGGGGGCUGGUGAGCAGAGGGGGGAAUAACACCAGAGGGGCUGAAAUUGCUGAUUGCUGGGUUCACAGAUCUACCCACGAGCGGCCCAGGUACCCCAUGAGCGGCUGCUCUGUGUCAUCUGACCACUGGAUUGUAACCUGGGCUGAAAGAAUCAGAAGUCAGUGUGGCGAGGCAGGAGUCCUCAGAUGGUCAGAGCUGACUCUUCAACUCUUAAGGGCAAAAUGGAAAAUGUGAGCUUGUUGGUGGUCUUCGAAACACAGUAAGCAAUCCAUGCCCCUGAAGAGCAGGGAUAAUUAUAGGCAUGCCCUUGUUUUAUUGUGCUUUGCAGAUAUUGCAUGUUUUUACAAAUUGAAGAUUUAUGGCAACUCUGCAUACAGCAAAUCUAUUGAUGCCAUCUUUUUCCAAUAUCACAUGCUCACUCUGUGUCUCUGUCUCACAUUUUGGUAGUUCUCCCAAUAUUUCACACCUUAUUAUUAUUAUUAUAUCUGUUAUGAUGAUCUGUGGUCAGGGAUCUUUGAGGUUACUAUUGUAGUUGUUUUGAGGUGCCAUGAACUGCACCCAUGUAAGACAGCGAACAUAAUCAAUAAAUGUUGUGUGUUCUGACUGCUCCACCAACCGACUGUUUCCCUGUCUCUUUCUCUCUCCUCUGGCUCCCUAUUCCCUGAGGCACAAUCAUAUUGAAAUUAGGCCAAAUAAUAACCCUACAAUGGCUUCUAAAGGUUCAAGUAAAAGGAAGAGUCACAUCUCUUACUCUAAAUCAAAAGCUAGAAAUGAUUAAGCUUAGUGAGGAAGGCAUGUGGAAAGCUGAGA
rnacentral:lncRNA from 1 species